rnacentral:rRNA from 1 species
AGCGAACGUUUGCGGCGGGCUUAACACAUGCAAGUCGAACGGGCUGUUCCUUCGGGGGCAGUCAGUGGCGCACGGGUGCGUAACACGUGGGUAAUCAACCCUUCAGCUCGGGAUAACGCCUUGAAAGGGGCGCUAAUACCGGAUGCGACGCGAGGAGCCUCGGCGCUUCGCGGGAAAGAUUCGCAAGGAUCACUGAAGGACGAGCCUGCGGCCCAUCAGCUAGUUGGUGAGGUAAGAGCUCACCAAGGCGAAGACGGGUAGCUGGUCUGAGAGGAUGAUCAGCCACACUGGAACUGAGACACGGUCCAGACUCCUACGGGAGGCAGCAGUGGGGAAUAUUGCGCAAUGGGCGAAAGCCUGACGCAGCCACGCCGCGUGAGCGAUGAAGGCC